UACGUAGGGGGCUAGCGUUGUCCGGAUUUAUUGGGCGUAAAGAGCGUGUAGGCGGCCAUGUAGGUCCGGUGUGAAAACUCGAGGCUUAACCUCGAGAUGUCAUCGGAAACCAUUUGGCUAGAGUCCGGAAGAGGAGAGUGGAAUUCCUGGUGUAGCGGUGAAAUGCGCAGAUAUCAGGAGGAACACCAAUGGCGAAGGCAGCUCGCUGGGACGGUACUGACGCUGAGGCGCGAAAGCGUGGGGAGCAAACAGG
rnacentral:rRNA from 1 species